rnacentral:sRNA from 1 species
GCCAGGCGUGGUGACUCACACCUGUAAUCCCAGGAGCUCGGGAGGCUGAGAUAGGAGGAUCACGAGUUCAAAGCCAGCCUCAGCAAUGGCAACUCAGUGACACCCUGUCUCUA